rnacentral:snRNA from 1 species
UCAUCAGAUUUACCAACCACAGUCUGA